rnacentral:rRNA from 1 species
UACGGGGGGGGCAAGCGUUGUUCGGAAUUACUGGGCGUAAAGCGUGCGCAGGCGGUCCGCAAAGUCUGAUGUGAAAGCCCCGGGCUCAACCUGGGAACUGCAUUGGAAACUAACGGGCUCGAGUGUGGCAGAGGGGGGUGGAAUUCCACGUGUAGCAGUGAAAUUCGUAGAUAUCGGGAGGAACACCAGUGGCGAAGGCGGCGACCUGGGCAGAUACUGACGCUGAGGUGCGAAAGCGUGGGGAGCAAACAGG